rnacentral:rRNA from 1 species
UUGGAGGGCAAGUCUGGUGCCAGCAGCCGCGGUAAUUCCAGCUCCAAUAGCGUAUAUUAAAGUUGUUGCAGUUAAAAAGCUCGUAGUUGAAUUUCGGGAUCAAUAUAUCGGUCGUGCCUUGGUACGUACUGGUAUCAUUGGUUUCUCCUUUCUGACGAACCAUGAUGUCAUUAAUUUGGUGUUAUGGGAAGUUAGGACUGUUACUUUGAAAAAAUUAGAGUGUUUAAAGCAGGCUUUAGCUUGAAUACAUUAGCAUGGAAUAAUGAAAUAGGACGUUCGAACCUAUUUUGUUGGUUUCUAGGAUCAACGUAAUGAUUAAUAGGGAUAGUUGGGGGCAUUAGUAUUCAAUUGUCAGAGGUGAAAUUCUUGGAUUUAUUGAAGACUAACUACUGCGAAAGCAUUUGCCAAGGAUGNUUUCAUUAAUCAAGAACGAAAGUUAGGGGAUCGAAGACGAUCAGAUACCGUCGUAGUCUUAACCAUAAACUAUGCCGACUAGGGAUCGGAUGAUGUUAAUUUUUUAAUGACUCAUUCGGCGCCUUACGGGAAAC